rnacentral:lncRNA from 1 species
CGUUAUCUUUUCUUUGUACUAGGUCUUCAAAAUUCGACGAGAAUUGCUGCAUAUCUCAGUUUGGUCUAACUACGUUUCAAAUGCUCCAUAGCCACUUGGGGUGAACGGCUUCCAUAUUGGACAGCGCCGCUCUAAGUCGUGGCCUAGAAGGCCAGCUGGUCUUCUGUAAGAACAAAAGGGUAAAACUUUUUAAAACUGCGUUACUGAAAAGCGACAACUGUAAAAAUUACACCACCACCCCCAUCGGAUAAAACCAACCAACCAAAUAAUUGUCAAGAACAGCUGACUGGAGUCUCACCAAAAUUGAAUUCGUUGUAAUGGGGUCCAGAGGUGGCCCUUAGAGAGAGAGCCAACUCUUCUCCAUAGAAGUUUUACGAAAGGUUUUGUGAUUAAACUGUUCCCACCAACUCUGCUCUGUGUGGCGUGCUUCGGGGUAACAGCAGCGAUGUAUUAAUUUAUCUCUGAUUGGAAGUUCUGUUCUUCACCCACCACUGACAAGCUGAGGCUUGGAAAAUGCUCCUUGAAUAAGCCAGAGUGUCACCAACACCAGCAGGGUCAGCUCCAGUCCCAGCCUCCCAUCAAGCUUCUUGGACCAAGGCCAGCCUCCUGUGGAGAGGGCCUCCGGUGGAGGGGCCAGUGUGCAGAAUGAUGAGGGGAUCUGCUCACCGGCUUUAGAGGCGAGAAUCUGGGAGUGAGGAGGUUACCUGGGCGCCUCGUCUCUGCUUUUCCAGAUAUUGUGCGCUUAAUGGGCAGCCUGCAGAACAGGGAUGUGCCCAGCCCUCUCUCUGCUGCCUUGAAAUCUUCAAAACAAGAGUUGGAGGUCGGCUGCAGCAUCCUGGGAAACACGGCCUCCUUCAGGGUGCGGGGGAGGAAAGGGAGUGGCUGAGGAGCCAGACAUCUGGGUCUGGAUCGGGGCUUCACCGCUUUCUUGCUCUGUUUUGCGCUGCGGACUUGGAGUCACACGGAGAGCUCCACGGCGUUCCAGCUGACAGUCUGUGAAGAUCACGUAACCUGUCUGGGCAUCAGCUUUGGCAUCAGUAAACCGGAAAUGAUACUUCCUAUUCUGCAGGCCACGGCCAGCAUUGCACGCAAUAAUGGACGGAAAGUACCUUCUGUGUAGACACAGAUACUCUGUACCCUUCUGUGUGUGUUUACAGUCAGGGCUGAUCCCACUAAAACACAGAAACGUGUAAGAGUGUUACUUCAAUAAACCGAAGAAAAAAUUUCCGUUUUUAUCCCA